CUUGGGUCUACUGUGUGCCAGG
rnacentral:miRNA from 1 species